UAAGGUUCGAUUCGAGCGACAGCGAGAAAGCGUUGCCGCAGGCAACGACCCGAAGGGCGAAGCGCGCAGCGCUGAGUCAUCCUUCCCCCACCACCA
rnacentral:sRNA from 1 species